CUUUGUUUCUGUUUUUGAAUUUUAAUUCUUCUAUUUAAAUCUUUAAUUCGAAAUUGUAUCCUCAUUUUAAAAAAUAAUUCUUUGGUUUUUGUAUCCAAUUCAGUGUUUUUUUAACUUUUUAUCAUUUUUUCCAGCAAAAUUCGGCUUCUUUAGCCCACCUGCUGACACCAGAUCCACAUAAGUGAAUGAGGUGGCUGUGGUGUUUGAAAAUAGCUGAGUUGCCAGCUUAACUCUCUGACUGCCCGCAGAGCGCACGUUAAGAUGAUCAGAUGUAACAGAUGUUAACUUCCCACAUAAUGGAAAGGUCCGAUGUGGAAGCGUGGUUCAUUGCUCGCCUCACGGUUUGCUGGGUUAAAACUUUCCUAUCAACGACAAGCCCUGAAUCAAGGAAGUGAUUCCUUAUCAACUUCACAAGAUGGGGUACGUCUACAAACACAUACACUUUUCCAGUAGUUCCAAUUUAAAAAAUAUUUAUAAAUUAGUCAGAGAAGUCUAAAGUUUUGCUUACUUCAUACCAGGCGAGAUUCCAAGACUUGUCCACAAUUUGUGGUUCCCGGGACCCAUAUCGUUAACGAUUCCGACGACAUGAUACCCUACCAUGUAGAGCCUUUAAUGAGCAUGUUCAAUGUGGAUAUCAUCAUUUUCUUAUCAAAGUUGAAAUAUAUCGGCUGCUUCCAAGACUUGCGCAAGCCUUGUGCCAUUACGACUUUAACAUAGUUUCGUUGUUUUUGCACUGCUUCCAAAGAGUGGUCGUACUCAUAAUUUGUCUCGACUUUCAUCUCGUCAAAAAACAAAAUACACACUUUGUCCUCCUCGUCAGUGUAAACGGCAUUUCCCAUCAAGGAUAUGACAAAAUCUAAAAUGCCUGGUUGUACAUUCACUGAAUGCAACCAUCUGUCCAAAGUGGAUAAGGAUGGAAGUGGAAACCCCUUUUUGAGCAAAUGGCGAUAUGCCCGGGGACCAGCAGCAUGAAGAAAAAUCGCAUUCGAACUGUCAUCUCGAUUCCAUAAUACCCUUUUUCCGCCGUUCUCAAGUUCUCUCUAACUUGCGAAUUCGUGAAUAUUGAAUAAACUGAAGCUUUAAAUGUCUGAGGUUUUCCGAGUUGAGAGCUUUGCAUUUUCCCUUUGCAAGUCUGCAACUUGUUUUUGCAAACGCAAAUUUUCCAAUGCAAGCGCAGAAUCAAGUAAUUCUUGUCUGCAAAUUAAUCAUAAUAAUAUCCACAAAAAAGGAAAUCAAUGUUAAACAUACUCGGUUUGAGAGCUAAACUCAAAAACUGUAUCGCCACAAGCUGAUGCCAUAUGUUCUGUGAACACUUGAUUUGCUUCUGGUUUCUGGGGUACGGCAGUUGGUAUCAGCCAUCUCCGCUUUGCUCCAUUUACGGUCGUUCUGUAAAAAAAGUCGGAAUCACUAAAAUGUUUCCCACAAAUUUUANAUCAAGGAUAUGACAAAAUCUAAAAUGCCUGGUUGUACAUUCACUGAAUGCAACCAUCUGUCCAAAGUGGAUAAGGAUGGAAGUGGAAACCCCUUUUUGAGCAAAUGGCGAUAUGCCCGGGGACCAGCAGCAUGAAGAAAAAUCGCAUUCGAACUGUCAUCUCGAUUCCAUAAUACCCUUUUUCCGCCGUUCUCAAGUUCUCUCUAACUUGCGAAUUCGUGAAUAUUGAAUAAACUGAAGCUUUAAAUGUCUGAGGUUUUCCGAGUUGAGAGCUUUGCAUUUUCCCUUUGCAAGUCUGCAACUUGUUUUUGCAAACGCAAAUUUUCCAAUGCAAGCGCAGAAUCAAGUAAUUCUUGUCUGCAAAUUAAUCAUAAUAAUAUCCACAAAAAAGGAAAUCAAUGUUAAACAUACUCGGUUUGAGAGCUAAACUCAAAAACUGUAUCGCCACAAGCUGAUGCCAUAUGUUCUGUGAACACUUGAUUUGCUUCUGGUUUCUGGGGUACGGCAGUUGGUAUCAGACAUCUCCGCUUUGCUCCAUUUACGGUCGUUCUGUAAAAAAAGUCGGAAUCACUAAAAUGUUUCCCACAAAAGUUUCCAUUCAAAGUUUUGGAUCGGCAUAGCAAACAAUAUGUUGCAGACAUGUUUAUUUCUAAUAAUAAACGAGAGGGACGUGUGAGACGCUUCUUACGCGUCACAACUUUUAUACCCGGCACU
rnacentral:lncRNA from 1 species